GAUUGCAAGAAACAUCGUGUUGUGAAAGAGAACUUGGGCUCAUUUGAAAAAUGCUCACUUUGCCGUGGGCCAUUUUCUUCAUUGAAGUGGUGGGGGCUAAGAUGUGAAGUUUGCACCACUGUCUGGCAUACAUACUGCUUUCACUCCAAAGACAAAAGACAAAAGACUUUGCCUAUGGCUCCAUGUACAGUAGAGAAACCUGUUCUCCACACACCAGCCGUCUCUCCAUCUACAGACCACUCAACUGUCGUCUCUCCAUCUACAGACCACUCAACUGUCGUCUCUCCAUCUACAGACCACUCAACUGUCGUCUCUCCAUCUACAGACCACACACCAGUUGUCUCUCCAUCUGCAGACCACUCACCAGUUGUCUCUCCAUCUGCAGACCACUCACCAGUCGUCUCUCUAUCUGCAGGCAACACACCAUUUCUCUCCUCUACAGUGCUCCCUGAAGAGAAUAAAAGUGACUUCAGUGAAGAGGAGCUAUCGGAUG